GAUGAACGCUGGCGGCGUGCUUAAGACAUGCAAGUCGAACGGAGUGUGUAGCAAUACUCACUAAGUGGCGAAUGGGUGAGUAACACGUAGGUGACCUGCCCUGAAGUGCGGAAUAACAGUCCGAAAGGAUUGCUAAUACCGCAUGUGGUCCCGGGCGUUAGAGAACCGGGUCUAAAGACAGUAAUGCGCUUCAGGAGGGGCCUGCGGUCCAUCAGCUAGUUGGUGAGGUAACGGCCUACCAAGGCGACAAUCCGUAGCUGGUCUGAGAGGACGACCAGCCACACUGGGACUGAGACACGGCCCAGACUCCUACGGGAGCAGCAGUGGGGAAUUUUGGGCAAUGGGCGCAAGCCUGACCCAGCAACGCCGCGUGAGGGAGGAAAUCCUUCGGGAUGU
rnacentral:rRNA from 1 species